rnacentral:rRNA from 1 species
AUGGCGGAGGGGGUGCUUGCUUCCAGCAUCGUGAAGGCGGUGCUAGCGAAGUUCGGGUCCUCGGUUUGGGGAGAGCUCGCCCUCCUGAGGAGCUUCAGGACUGACCUGAAGGCCAUGGAGGACGAGUUCGCCACCAUCCGGAGCGUGCUCGCGGACGCUGAGGUGCGCGGCGGCAGCGGCGACAGCGCCGUCCGCGACUGGCUGCGCAGGCUCAAGAACCUCGCCCAUGACAUCGACGACUUCCUCGACGCCUGCCACACCGACCUGCGCGCUGGCCGCCGCCGCCGGAGACGGGGCAACCCGGCGUGCGGCUCCACGGCCACCUGCAUCGUCAGCUCCGUCGUCAUGGCGCACAGGCUGAGGUCCCUGAGGCGCAAGCUGGACGCCGUCGCCGCGGGGAGGGACAGGCUGCGGUUGAAUCCCAACGUUUCUCCGCCGGCGCACCCCGUUGCUCCCCCGAAGCGUGAGACCAUCUCAAAGGUCGACGAGACCAAGACGGUGGGGAGGGCCGCCGACAAAGAGAGGCUCAUGAAGCUGGUCCUUGACCUGGCGAGCGAGGAGGACGUGUCCGUGAUCCCCAUCGUCGGCUUCGGCGGCCUCGGCAAGACGACGCUGGCGCAGCUGGUGUUCAACGACCGGAGGGCCAACGACGAGGUGUUCGACCUCCGGAUCUGGGUCUCCAUGUCCGUGGAUUUCAGCCUCAGAAGGCUCAUCCAGCCGAUUGCGAGCGCGACCAAGCUGAAGCGCGAUCUGACCAGCCUGGAGGCCAUCGCAAACUUCUUGUCCGAGACGUUCACGGGGAAGAAGUACCUGCUGGUUCUCGAUGAUGUGUGGAGCGAGAGCCAGGAGGAGUGGGAGCGGCUGAAGCUUCUCCUCAAGGAUGGCAAGCGAGGCAGCAAGAUCAUGGUGACCACACGGAGCCGCAAGGUCGCCAUGAUGGUGCGCACCGUGCCGCCAUUCGUUCUCGAGGGCCUCUCUGAUGAUGAUUGUUGGGAGCUGUUCAAGGGAAAGGCUUUUGAGGAAGGGGAGGAGCAUAUGCAUCCCAAGCUGGUCAAGUUAGGAAAGGGGAUCGUCCAGAAAUGCGGCGGCGUGCCGUUGGCCGCCAAGGCUCUUGGGAGCAUGCUGCGGUUCAAGAGGAAUGAGGAGUCAUGGAUUGCUGUCAAGGACAGUGAGAUAUGGCAGCUGGACAAGGAAGACACAAUUUUGCCGUCUCUCAAGCUUACCUAUGACCAAAUGCCACCUGGUCUGAAGCAGUGCUUCGCGUAUUGUGCAUCGUUUCCUAGAAACUAUGAGAUUGACAGGGACAAGCUUAUUCAGCGAUGGAUUGCUCUUGGUUUCAUUGAACCCACAAAGUAUGGCUGCCAAUCGGUUUUCGAUCAAGCCAACGACUAUUUCGAGCACUUGCUGUGGAUGUCUUUCCUUCAAGAAGUAGUGGAGCACGAUUUAUCAAAGAAAGAACUAGAGGAAGAUCACAAUGUCAAGUAUAAGAUUCACGACUUGGUGCAUGACCUUGCUCAGUCUGUUGCCGGGGAUGAAGUCCAGAUCAUCAACUUUAAGAAUGUCAAUGGGCGCGCCGAAGCAUGCUGCCGCUAUGCGUCAUUGGCUGAUGACAUGGGGGUCUCUAAAUCUGAAGUUCUCCGGAGCAUGCUUCGUAAAGUCCGCGCAUUGCAUUCCUGGGGUUAUGCUCUUGAUGUUCAGUUGUUGCUUCACUCCAGGUGCCUGAGGGUACUAGAUUUGCGAGGCAGCCAAAUUACAGAGCUUCCCAAGUCAGUUGGCAGAUUAAAACACUUGAGUUUCCUCUGUACAUUACCCAGCUCCAUCGGUGAACUCCAAAGUUUGCAAGACUUGAAUUUUAAAGGGUGCGUCAAUCUUAAGAUUCUGCCUGACACUAUGUGCAGACUGCAAAAUUUGCAUUUCUUGAACCUCUCACAGUGUGGAAUUCUCCGAGCGCUGCCCAAAAAUAUUGGGAAUCUCUCAAAUUUGUUGCAUCUGAAUUUAUCACAAUGCAGUGAUCUUGAGGCAAUCCCUGACUCGAUAGGCUGCAUUACAAGGCUGCAUACUCUGGAUAUGUCUUACUGUAGCAGUUUGUCAGAAUUACCUCGAUCCGUUGGUGGCCUCCUGGAGCUUCAAACUCUCAUUCUAUCACAUCAUGCACGGAGUUUGGCAUUGCCCAUAGCAACCAGUCACCUACCAAACUUGCAGAUUUUGGAUCUCUCAUUGAAUAUUGGUCUGGAGGAAUUGCCUGAAUCAAUUGGUAAUCUUCAUAACUUGAAGGAGCUUAUUUUGUUCCAGUGCUGGAAUCUUCAUAAGCUACCUGAGUCUAUAGCAAACCUUAUGAUGCUGGAGAGGUUAAGCCUUGUUGGGUGUGCAGAUCUAGCCUCGCUACCUGACGGCAUGACAACCAUCACUAAUCUGAAGCACCUACAAAAUGACCAGUGCCCAUCUUUGGAGAGACUACCUGAUGGAUUUGGGCAAUGGACUAAGCUUGAAACAUUAUCCUUGCUCAUUAUAGGUGACACAUGCAGCAGUAUUGCGGAGCUAAAAGAUCUUAUUCUUCUGAGUGGCAGUCUUAGAAUUGAAUGCCGCUCACACAAGAAGGAUUUGACAAACGAUGCCAGGAGAGCAAACUUGAGGAAUAAGAGGAAACUAAGCAACUUGACUGUGUCAUGGACCAGUUCAUGCUCUUCUGAUGAGCUGAAGAACGUCGAAACAUUUCUUGAAGUUCUCUUGCCACCUGAAAACCUUGAGGUCCUUGAAAUAAAUGGCUACAUGGGCACUAAAUUUCCCAGCUGGAUGAUGGAGAGCAUGGAAUCCUGGCUUCCAAAUAUUACCUUCCUAAGUUUAGGCAACAUCCCUAACUGUAUAUGCCUCCCACCUCUUGGUCAUAUUCCCAACCUCCAUUCUCUUGAGCUCCGCUGCAUUAGUGGUGUCCGUAGCAUUGGACCUGAAAUACUUGCCAAGGGACAGAAGAACACAUUGUACCAGUCACUCAAGGAACUCCAUUUUGAAGACAUGCCUGAUCUGGAGAUCUGGCCAACCUCAUUGGCAGGGGAUAGUGAAGAAAGUCAACAGCAAGUAUUCAUGUUUCCAGUUCUUAAAACUGUCACUGCAAGUGGAUGUCCAAAGAUGAGACCAAGACCAUGCCUCCCAGAUGCUAUAGCAGAUUUGUCACUAUCCAACAGCAGUGAGAUGUUAUCAGUUGGCAGGGUGUUCGGGCCAUCAUCUUCCAAACCGGCGUCACUUCUUAGGAGACUGUGGAUUAGAAAGUGCCAUGCUUCGUCGUGUGAUUGGAACUUACUGCAGCACAGGCCAAAACUUGAGGAUCUGACCAUUGAGUACUGCGAAGGGCUACGUGUUUUGCCAGAGGCCAUCAGGCACCUUAGCAUGGUCCGGAAGCUGAAGAUUGAUAAUUGCACUGAUUUGGAAGUCCUUCCAGAAUGGCUAGGUGAUCUCGUAGCACUUGAGCAUCUGGAGAUAAGCUGCUGCGGGAAGUUGGUCUCACUGCCAGAAGGUUUGCGAUCCUUAACUGCACUGGAGGAGUUGAUUGUCAGUGAUUGUGGCUCUGCACUGACUGAGAACUGCAGAAAAGGGACAGGCAAGGAUUGGUUCAAGAUCUGUCAUAUCCCAAGCAUCCUCAUCUCGUGA